AUUGAACGCUGGCGGAAUGCUUUACACAUGCAAGUCGAACGGCAGCACGGACUUCGGUCUGGUGGCGAGUGGCGAACGGGUGAGUAAUGUAUCGGAACGUGCCCAGUCGUGGGGGAUAACGUAGUGAAAAUUACGCUAAUACCGCAUACGAUCUAUGGAUGAAAGCGGGGGAUCGCAAGACCUCGCGCGAUUGGAGCGGCCGAUAUCAGAUUAGGUAGUUGGUGGGGUAAAGGCCCACCAAGCCAACGAUCUGUAGCUGGUCUGAGAGGACGACCAGCCAAACUGGAACGGAGACACGGUCCAGACUCCUACGGGAGGCAGCAGUGGGGAAUUUUGGACAAUGGGCGAAAGCCUGAUCCAGCCAUUCCGCGUGCAGGAUGAAGGCCCUCGGGUUGUAAACUGCUUUUGUACAGAACGAAAAGGUUUCUACUAAAACUAGGAGCUCAUGACGGUACUGUAAGAAUAAGCACCGGCUAACUACGUGCCAGCCGCCGCGGUAA
rnacentral:rRNA from 1 species